GACGAACGCUGGCGGCGUGCUUAACACAUGCAAGUCGAACGGUGAAAGCGGAGCUUGCUCCGCUGGAUCAGUGGCGAACGGGUGAGUAACACGUGGGCAACCUGCCCCUGACUUCGGGAUAACUCCUCGAAAGAGGUGCUAAUACCGGAUACGAAUCCUGCAGGCAUCUGUGGGAUUGGAAAGUUUUUCGGUCAGGGAUGGGCCCGCGGCCUAUCAGCUUGUUGGUGAGGUAGUGGCUCACCAAGGCGACGACGGGUAGCCGGCCUGAGAGUGCGACCGGCCACACUGGGACUGAGACACGGCCCAGACUCCUACGGGAGGCAGCAGUGGGGAAUAUUGCGCAAUGGGCGAAAGCCUGACGCAGCAACGCCGCGUGCGGGAUGACGGCCUUCGGGUUGUAAACCGCUUUCAGCAGGGAAGAAGCCGCAAGGUGACGGUACCUGCAGAAGAAGCACCGGCUAACUACGUGCCAGCAGCCGCCGUAA
rnacentral:rRNA from 1 species